UUACGGCUAUAUCAUGUUAGAAACACCACUCCCCAUACUAUCACCGAAGUUAAGCAACGUCGAACUUGGUCUGUACCUAAAUGGGUGACCAUUUCAGAAUACCUGGUACUGUAAG